UUCCGUCUUGUCGGAACAAAGCACCAGGCAGGGCUGGGUUAAAUCUGCGACGUUGCCGAUACGACCCCCAUCCGCCGUCCACCCGGCCCACGGCGCGCCGGGAAGUGCGUUCCUCGUCUAUUUUGAAUGUGUUAUUGGUGGUGGACUGACGUUUGUUUCGAAUUUCUUACCGCAAUCACGGAAUUGAAAUGGGGUAGCGUAUCCGGAUCCAUGUCCAGGCUUCGACGUUUUCCAUACGAACUUUUAGAUUACCCGGCAUUUCACUGCUCUAGAGAAGAUUAUUAUGUAUUACAUGAAUGACGUUGAAGGUGAAAAUUUCUAGGUGUGGCAUGGGCCUGUUCGCCUUCAUGUUUACAGAACGUUUACAUCCCUAAGUCAAAGCUGAGUUUGACUUCUUCUUUGUACAGUGGCUCAGCCACUUAAAGUGCCACAUUUCUGUACAAGUUGUGAUUGACACGCCAUGGAAGCAUUGAGGGUUUCUGUUGGAUAUAUAACGCUGUGUUGAGCGUUCAACUUCAGAGGCUUACCAUUUUCAAUUGAAGCGGGGCUGCCAAGAAUUGCCCUAGGAGAGCACCAGGGAAUUUAUUAUGUAGUCUGUCAUUGAGUAUACAAAUGCACCAAAACCAUUUAUAUACUGUUAAGAUAAAGAUCAGAUUGCACAGCCAAUGUGCCUUGUUUCUCUCUUACUUGAGUACUGUUAUUUGUGUGAUGUAAAUCAAAGAACAUAAAAUUCAUGAGCAAUUGAAA